UAAUCUGCAAAACGUAAUUCAAGACCAAAAAAAUAAGACAAUGUUGCCACUGCCAUAAUUUGUUUGUAAAAUAGUAAAUUCCUUUUGAUAAAUAAUCACGCUAGGAUAAUUUAUUCAUUAGUAAUUUUACUCCUAUUAUUUAAAAAAGUACUUUAAUUUACUUAUUUGUACAUAAAUAGAAGACGCGCUAGUAAAAAAGUGGCAAUAUUUCUUACAUUUUUUGAUCUUGAAUUACGUUUUGCAGUUUAGUUA